rnacentral:misc_RNA from 1 species
GAAAUGCGAUAAGUAAUGUGAAUUGCAGAAUUCAAUGAAUCAUCGAAUCUUUGAACGCACAUUGCGCCCGCCAGCACUCUGGCGGGCAUGCCUGUUCGAGCGUCAUUUCAACCCUCAGAACCCCUUGCGGGAUCUGGCGUUGGGGAUUGGCAUCCAGCCAGCCCCGAAAUCUAGUGGCGGUCCCUCCGCGACCUCCCCUGUGCAGUAGCGAUACCUCGCAGCGGGACAGCGGUCUGACCACGCCGUAAAACCCCCAACUUCUCAAGGUUGACCUCGAAUCAGGUAGGAAUACCCGCUGAACUUAAGC